AGAGUUUGAUCCUGGCUCAGGAUGAACGCUAGCGGCAGACUUAAUACAUGUGAGUCGAGGGGCAGCGGAUCCCUCCGGGGAUGCCGGCGACCGGCGAACGGGUGAGUAACACGUAUGGAACCUGCCCUUAACUGGGAAAUAGCUUUGAGAAAUCGAAGGUAAUGUCCCAUACCAUCUGAAGAAGGCAUCUUUUUCAGAUGAAAGCUCCGGCGGUUAAGGAUGGCCAUGCGGUCCAUUAGCUUGUUGGUGAGAUAACCGCUCACCAAGGCUGCGAUGGAUAGCUGAUCUGAGAGGAUGAUCAGCCACAUUGGCACUGAGACACGGGCCAAACUCCUACGGGAGGCAGCAGUAGGGAAUCUUGGUCAAUUGGCGAAAGCCAGAACCAGUCAUGCCGCGUGCAGGAUGAAGGCCCUACGGGUCGUAAACUGCUUUUAUUCGGGAAGAAAAAGUCUGUUUUCACAGACCUUGACGGUACCGAUUGAAUAAGGACCGGCCAACUCCGUGCCAGCAGCCGCGGUAAUACGGAGGGUCCAAGCGUUAUCCGGAUUCACUGGGUUUAAAGGGUGCGCAGGCGGCUAAGUAAGUCAGUGGUGAAAGCCUUCGGCUCAACCGGAGAAUUGCCAUUGAAACUACUUAGCUUGAGUGCAGUAGAGGUAGGCGGAAUGUAGCAUGUAGCGGUGAAAUGCAUAGAUAUGCUACAGAACACCGAUAGCGA
rnacentral:rRNA from 1 species